AGUUUAACCCAAAACAGUUCCUAUAAUUCCCAUAAAUUUUAUUAGUUUAUCUGUAAAAAAAAUAUCUUCAGCUAUGGGUAGCUCCAAGGUCGUGAUAGUCCGCAGCACUGUCGUCUUUCGUCGUGCGCCCAAGAAAGGAUUUCCGGGUGUGAAUAUAGCCAACAUUGUCAAGUUCAUCAAAGCCAUAGAUGCACCCAUCAAAAUGAAGUAAAGCUGAAAGAAGUCUCAAAAUUCUCAAUAUGUUCAAAUGUUAAAUAAAAUUUCCAUGUGCUAAAA